GAUGACACUGAAGGGCAUUGUCCAGCAGAGUGCAGUAUAGGUACAAAAUCCAGACACAUCUGAUGGCUAUUGGAUGCCUGUGAUCACUCUUCGACCAUCUAAUCCCUAGCUCCACAUGUGCCUCAACAGGGGAAGACGGUGCUUUGAUUGUGCUAGGGUGAGAGACAGGGGCAAGGGCAAAGACAGCACAGGGGUCAUUACAGCUACUGUAUUUUCCCUGGAAGAGCCAAUCAUCUUCUUCAUCUUUGUCUCUGCCAAUGAAAAAAUGACCACUGUUGCACCUGAGCUGAAUGUGCCCCUUGAGAUCAUCAUGUGUGUCCAGAUCCAUCAUGAAGUGACCAAAAAAAAGAUCCAUUGCUUACAGGAAACGACCUCUCAGACGAUGGCUAAGCCCGUGGCCUUUUCGCAAACCAAAGGUCUCUUCCUCAUUACCUGUGUUGUGUGCCUGUGAUGCAGCAUUCUUCCUUGAGGAAGAAACAGCGGCAGGGUUUCAAAGUGAUUAGCGUUUUGCCCUGAAGCUGAACAAUAAUUCCUCCAAUUUGUUUCUCUGGACCAGCGAUUACAAGUCUCAUCUCCUGCUGACUUUAUUGACAUGAAAAGGAUUUACAACAAGGCGUGGGUGACAGGAAAAUGACACAGGAACCCACCAAAAUCGUGCCGCAUACACUGACAAGAAACAAAUGAAUAGUGAUUUAUUUUGGAUCAAAGAUGAAAUAGGACGUAAAAAAGAGAGAAAGAGAGAUACCAAAAAGACUAAGCUUGUGCUAUAUAAGCCACUGGUAGAGUCACUUUUCUAGCAGUUUUUUUUUUUUUUGUGUGUAUGUGGUGGUGGUGGGGUGUGUGUGAUAAGGGCAAAAUCAGAAAAUGACAAUAAGCAUCCUGUGAAAUUUUUUGCCUCAAUGCUGACAGUUCUCAUAAAGCUCAGAAAUACACGUCAA